GACGAACGCUGGCGGCGUGCCUAAUACAUGCAAGUCGAGCGCAGGAAAUCGACGGAACCCUUCGGGGGGAAGUCGAUGGAAUGAGCGGCGGACGGGUGAGUAACACGUAAAGAACCUGCCCUCAGGUCUGGGAUAACCACGAGAAAUCGGGGCUAAUACCGGAUGGGUCAUCGGACCGCAUGGUCAGAGGAUGAAAGGCGCUUCGGCGUCGCCUGGGGAUGGCUGUGCGGUGCAUUAGCUAGUUGGUGGGGUAAGGGACCACAAAGGCGACGGUGCAUGGCUGACCUGAGAGGGUGCUGGGCCACCCUGGGACUUGGCUACGGCCCAGACUCCUACGGGAGGCAGCAGUAGGGAAGCUUUCACAAUGGACGAAAGUCUGAUGGAGCAACGCCGCGUGAACGAUGAAGGCCUUCGGGUCGUAAAGUUCUGUUGUAAGGGAAGAACAAGUGCCGCAGGCAAUGGCGGCACCUUGACGGUACCUUGCGAGAAAGCCACGGCUAACUACGUGCCAGCCGCCGCCGUAA
rnacentral:rRNA from 1 species